GACGAACGCUGGCGGCGUGCUUAACACAUGCAAGUCGAACGGAAAGGCCCUGCUUUUGUGGGGUGCUCGAGUGGCGAACGGGUGAGUAACACGUGAGUAACCUGCCCUUGACUUUGGGAUAACUUCAGGAAACUGGGGCUACUACCGGAUAGGAGCUCCUGCUGCAUGGUGGGGGUUGGAAAGUUUCGGCGGUUGGGGUUGGACUCGCGGGUUAUCAGCUUGUUGGUGGGGUAGUGGCUUACCAAGGCUUUGACGGGUCGCCGGCCGGAGAGGGUGACCGGGCACAAUGGGACUGAGGUAGGGACCAGACGGCUACGGGGGGCAGCAGUGGGGAAUAUUGCACAAUGGGAGGAAGUGUGAGGCAGCGACGCCGGGUGCGGGAUGACGGCCUUCGGGUUGUAAACCGCUUUCGCCUGUGACGAAGCGGGAGUGACGGUAAUGGGUAAAGAAGCACCGGCUAACUACGUG
rnacentral:rRNA from 1 species